UUCCUUUAAUUUUAGUCUCAAUAAUUCCUAAUUUCUGCUUUUCUAACUCAAACAUUAGGUAUAAUUUCCUAUAAAUGAGGUUUACUGACCAUGACUUCCAAAAGUAAGUGUACAUCUAGUAAUGAGUUUGUGUUGGUGGGGUUUAUACGUGGUAGUGAAGAGAAAUGUUACACGUCAAAAAAUGCCCAAAAUAUUGAAAGAAAGUGCCAAAAGAGACAAAAAA